rnacentral:rRNA from 1 species
UGGGGAAUAUUGCACAAUGGAGGGAACUCUGAUGCAGCGACGCCGCGUGAGUGAUGAAGGAAUUCGUUUCGUAAAACUCUGUUCUAUGGGAAGAAAAGGACUGUACCAUAGGAGAAAGCUCCGGCUAAAUACGUGCCAGCAGCCGCGGUAAUACGUAUGGAGCGAGCGUUGUCCGGAAUUAUUGGGCGUAAAGGGUGCGCAGGCGGCUUUACAAGUUGGAUGUGAAAUAUUGUGGCUCAACCACAAACGUGCAUCCAAAACUGCAAAGCUUGAGUUAAGGAGAGGUAAGUGGAAUUCCUGGUGUAGCGGUGGAAUGCGUAGAUAUCAGAAGGAAUACCGGUGGCGAAGGCGACUUACUGGACUUAAACUGACGCUCAGGCACGAAAGCGUGGGGAGCAAACAGG